CGCUCCGCUGCCCGGCAUUGCCGCUGGUCCGUGCCGCGGGGCGACCCCAGCAGAGGCGUUUCCUCGUCCCCUCUUCGCCCCGCAACGGCGCGUGAGGGCCGUGCAGAGCCGCUGUGCUCGGUGGGGCCUCUGCUGGGAUCGCCUGCUGCGCACCGCGAGGGCUCCGGGACAGCUCUGCCCGCGCUCCCGCCGUGCGGUCCCGAACGGCCCAGCUCAGGGUCUCUUGAUGGUUUCGCUGGUACCGGCGGAGAGCGGAGACGACGCCCGCUUGUCGGGCUCAGUUACAGGAGGGGAGCUGGGGGGGGGGGGAACGGGCUGCGGCGGAAUUCCGGGCCCGGCCGUUGCCGUGCAAUGCGGCACGCGCCGUGCAAUGCGCGCGGCUGCGCUGCUCCACACGAGGCGGCGCGCGCCGCUCCUCAGUCCGCCGCUCUCCGAGCGGUGCCGCCCGGCGGAGCUGCCCGGGGCCGCGGGCGGUGAUGCUCGGAGUUCAUCGCGCUGAGGUCCCCGAACCUGCGGGGAUGAACUCUUCGUACGGCUGCGAACGGGGGCCGCUCCGCCCUGGAGCCCCGAGCUGCUGCAGCGGGGUCACGGCCUUCGUGCUCGAUGCGAUCGCGGCAGAGCUGGCUGGAGGUGCUUCCCAGGCCACAGUAAGUGUGCUGUACAAAUGUCAGUGUGCCAGUCCUGUGUGCUCGCUGUGACGCACUGCCUUGCAGUGGGACAUCUCUCCAGGGGAAAGCCCAGUGUGAUCCUUCCCUGCCAUACCAAGAGAACUGCAAUCCCUCGUCUCCUCAGCCUUUGUGCCCACUUACAUUGUUUGCUUUGAAUGUCUGGAGCCAUCUUGAAACUGAAUCCCUGCAAACUGUUCAGAAUGGAAGUGCUGCUCAUUCCAAGACACAAGUAUGUGAUUGUCUUUAAAGCUGGAAAGAAUAAUUUCCUGUGGGUUUGAUAUUCAUUAAUGCCUAAUUUCUUUUUUUCUGAGCCAGAUGGAUUUGGUUUGUGAUGAUUUGAAGCUCUCUGGUGUAAAAGAGAAUGAAAAAUUAAUAUAAAAAAGCCAACACAUAUAUGUGUGUAUAUAUAUAUUUAAAUUCAGUGUAUCCUUAAAAAAUGCUUCAAUGCUUCUUUCAUUUCGUC
ensembl:lncRNA